rnacentral:rRNA from 1 species
AUGAGGCUCAGGGACUUCCCGUCCUUCAUACGCACCACGGACCCGGACGAGUACAUGGUGCACUACGUCCUGCGGGAGACGGAGCGCACGGCCGGCGCGUCGGCCGUCAUCCUCAACAGCUUUGACGACCUGAAGGGCGAGGCGGUGGAGGCCAUGGAGGCGCUCGGCCUGCCCAAGGUCUGCACGCUCGGGCCUCUCCCGCUGCUGGCGCACGAGGAGCCGCCCUCGCCGCGCUGCGCCAUCAACCUCAGCCUGUGGAAGGAGCAGGACGAGUGCCUGGAGUGGCUGGACGGCAGGGAGCCCGGCUCCGUCGUCUACGUCAACUUCGGCAGCAUCACCGUCAUGACCAGCGCACAGAUGGUGGAGUUCGCUUGGGGACUGGCACAGAGCGGGAAGCAGUUCAUGUGGAUCGUCCGCCGAGACCUGGUGAAGGGCGACGCCGCGGUGCUCCCCGAGGAGUUCUUGUCCGAGACGGCUGGCCGCGGGCUCAUGGCGUCCUGGUGCCCGCAGCAGGAGGUGCUGAACCACCCUGCCGUCGGAGCGUUCCUGACGCACAGCGGCUGGAACUCGGCGCUGGAGAGCUUGUGCGGCGGCGUGCCGGUGAUCAGCUGGCCGUUCUUCGCCGACCAGCAGACCAACUGCAGGUACCAGUGCAACGAGUGGGGCGUCGGCAUGGAGAUCGACAGCAACGUUCGGCGUGACACCGUCGCCGGACUUAUCACGGAGAUCAUGGAAGGGGAGAAGGGGAAGAGCAUGAGGAAGAGAGCGCAGGAGUGGAAGGAGAGCGCAGUCAAGGCGGUCAUGCCCGGAGGCUCGUCUCACCGAAACUUCGACGAGCUGGUCCGCGAAGUGCUCCUGCCCAAGAACUAG